GGCAGUAACAGCUUUUCCUACACCUCAGGGGUUCAUCUUUACUUACCCAACUACACCAAAUUCCUAAGAAGUUUUCAAAUACCUCCCCACCAAUAAGAGAUCCUGCUUCUAGGUGGGACCUGUACCUAGUCCUUAAUUGCCUUACGAAAUAUCCUUUUGAGCCUCUAGCUAGGUGUUCUUUACUGGAUUUAUCAAUGAGGAUAGCCUUUCUGAUAGCUAUCACUUCUGCCCGAAGGGUUGAAGAAUUGGGGGCUUUAAUGGCAAACCCUCCACUUUUACAGUAUUCACCAGAAAGAAAGUGUUGCUAUAGGCCCAUCCAAAAUUUUUAUCUAACAUGCGCACAGAAUUUCAUAUUAAUCAAACCAUUCAUUUCCUGUUUUUUUUUUCCCUGAGAACUACCAUGGACUAGUCAAGAAGCCAUAUUCCAUACCCUAGAUGUCAGGAGAGUAUUAGCCUUUUACCUAGAUAAAAAAACCAUUUAGAAAAUCUCUUAGUCCAUUGGUAUCUCUUGCAGACAGAAAUAACCGUUCAGUAAUUUUGAAACAGAGUUUAUCUAAGUGAAUCUCCAGUUGUAUUAAGAUCUGAUGUUCAACCCCUUUUGAGUGAUCACACAUUCCACACAAGCACUAUUUACAUCUAUAGCCUUACUUAAGGAUGUGCCAGUUGCAGAUGUCUGUAGAGUGGCACCUUGGUCCUCUGUUCAUACUUCUUGUAAUCGUUACGCUUUGGUGCCAACAGCAAGAUAAGAUGCUGCCGUAGGCAGUGCAGUUCUCUUUUUUGUAUUGGGCUCUGCUCUGAACCUCCCGCUUCCUUGGGGGUAUUGCUGGGGAAUCCCCUGAAGUGGAGCACCCACAAGGGAACUACUUGAAGGAGAAAUUACUCAUCUUUUGUAGUAACUGGAGUUCUUCAAUAUGUGUGUCUCUGCAUGCUCCACUACCCACCCUCCUUCCUCUCUGCUUUGGAGUCUCCCUUGGGGGACUUUGCAGUGGUUCUUCUCUGCAGCCCCAUAAAGCCUCGAUGCAGGUCACAUGGAUGUGUGGGGCACUUGCACAGUCUGAAUGGGCACCAUUACCAAAAAUCUCUGAUCAAAGGUGCAGGUGCACCUGAAGUGGAGCGCCCUCAGGGCGACACAUCUCAAAGAACCCCAGUUACUACACAAGGUAAAUAACCUCUCCAUCUUUGACGGGUAGAAGGAGUGUUGUGGGAAAUGACAUGGAGAGGAGGGGGGAGAUUGUGUUCUCUUGAGGAAAAAAAUGGGCAAGACCUUGUGUAGAAGGAGAAGUGGAGGCAAAAGGAGGGGACGAUUUUGAAGAGUGAGUCAAAGGUAGCUGAGGUUGUGGGUGUGCGAUUCAUUUAAGUUGGAGUAGUAGAGUUGUUGAGCUAGGAAGAUGACGGAAUGGAAGGAGGAGAGAAUGAAUUUGUAUCAGAGGAAGACAGCCUGGUCACGGGACUUCCACUAGAGGCACUUAUUGCGAAGAUAGUAGCAGAGAAAGCAGAUGUUCGAGGAACAAACUAGUUAAGAGUGGAGGAGAGUGAAGCAUGGAGAGAAUUGACAAGAAAGAAAGAAAAAAAAGGAAGAGAAGGCAGGAAGGAGAAGUCUGAGAGCAGAUAAAUAGUUCAGUGCUGAUGGACUGGAAAUUACAGAAAG